CGGGGUGUGGCGCAGCAAGGAAGCGCGCCUGCUUUGGGAGCAGGAGGUCGCCAGUUCGAACCUGGCCGCCCCGA
rnacentral:tRNA from 1 species